AAUACACAGAGAAGCCCUGCCUCAUAAAAACAAGACAAAAGAAGAGACUGUGUUUUAGGUCAAACGAUUGGCAAAGCCUAUCUGAUCAUGGAGAGGAAACACAGAAAGACAACAGACAAGGUGUUGGCAAAGCAAAGACUCAGCUGCCUUUCAUCUUUUUCCUGAACAACAACAACAACAACAACAACAACAACAACAACAACAAGUGCAACAAGAGCUUUUCGGAGCUGAUGAACCAAAGGAGAGGUUUAACUAAAACUUUAGACCUGAAUGUAGUGGAUCACAGUUGUAAUUCCAGGAUUUGGGUGGCUGAGGUGGGAGGGUCAUGAAUUCAAGGUCUACCUGGGCUACAUAAUGGUCUAUCUGUCUGUCUAUCCAUCCACAAAAACUGUUAAGGAAAGAGAGAAGAAUCAAGAACUAUAUAUAAACUAUGCCCUCAUUUGCAUUCAGGAUCACGUUUAUGCAUUUUGGCAAAUGGAGGUUCACAAAGUCAGGAGUGGAGUUGAGAGUGUUUGCUCACCGUCAUCAUGAGGCCUCCUCUAUAUGUUGGAAUCCUACUGUGCCAUUCUGGGCCUUUCAAUAGAGCAAUUCUUUCAGGAAGAGAGUCAAUCUGGCAUGAAGUCUUCAUCCAGUAACUGAUGGAAGCAGAUGCAGAGAUCCACAAUCAAGCACUGUGCCAAGCUCUGGGAGUCCAGUUGAAGAGAGGGAGGAGGGAAUCAUAUGAGCAAGGGAAGGGGUUAAGAUCAUGAUGGGGAAACCCAAAGUGGCAGCUGACCUGAGUUUGUAGGGGCUCACGGACUCUGGACCGAUAGUUAGAGUUGGCACGGGAACACCUAGGUUUUCUGCGUGUGAGUGACAGUUGUAUAGUUUGUUCUUUUGUUGGGCACCUAGUUUGACCAGGAGUUGUCCCUGACACAUGAAUGACUCUUUGGAAUCUAUUCCCUACUGUGGGAUGCCUUGCCCAGUCUUGAUGCAAGGAGGAGGAGUCUGGCCCUGCCUCAACUUGAUAAGCUAUGCUGUAUUGACUCCCAUGGAAUGCCUUACCCCUUCUGAAUGGAG